ensembl:lncRNA
UUUUUGUACACGUACGGUCAAAGCUGCCCAUCCCCCAUCCUACUGCAUGCAGUGCUGAGUCAAAAACAACCCAAUUACUGGGUCAUCUGUCGCGGGCAUUUUGGAUCGUUAGCAGGAGGAAUUCUACGGUGCACUUUUCAAGCAGACUGACUUCAGCGUUUUUUAUUCUGGUGAAAUAAAGACCUGCUCUCGACUGUCCGUGGUGGCAAACCCACAGCCUUUCGCUCGAGGUGGUCUGAUUAUGCAUGGAUGGAUUGCUUUGUUCAGGAGAAGUUAACUGAAUGGCAGCUUCCAGAACUUGUUAAUAGUUUUGAAGAACAGGCAAUUGAUGAGGAGAGUUUUUUGCUUUUAGAUGAGGGGACCAUUAACUGCCUAAUUCCAAAGAUCGGUCUUAGGCUGAAGUUCCUGAAAUACUACAAAGAAUUUAAAGAAAAUGUUGUGCCCUCCACUGCCCCAAUUACAAGCCCAAAUGAGCCCCCAACUCCCACACCUCCUUGCCAAAGAGAAGUUGAUGCAACAAUGCUGGAUCCGGAUACACCUAUUGUUUUGCAUGUCAUCCCAUUUUUUGAUGUCCGCACAAUCCUCACCAACUCAUAUGAAGGCAGGCUGAUUGUUGAGAGUCUUGAUAAGGACAGUUUUGUCACCAUAAAACAGAGACGUUGCAUGAUCAGAAUUUUAGUGUCAUACCUAAUUGAGAAAUUUGGAGAAACACCAAGCUCGGACACAAAAAAGGGUCUAGCAUCUGCCUUGGUACAAGCAUUCCCCUGUCUGCACGAUAAAACUGCUGGUGGUUAUGAAACAUGGUAUGCCCAAUGCCGAAAUAAUAGACCAGCCACUGGGUUCAUUGAAGAGAGACUGAGGAAUAUACGAAAGCGACUGAGGCGCUUGAGACGACCACAAGGAGAGAAAGAAGAUGCACCAUGCAGGACAGUCAUGCCAGUAGAAUCAACGAUAUCUGAAGAGAGAGCUGAGGAAAUUAAACAAUGGCUGAGAAACAACACUCAGCCCAUCAGCCAAGUGGAACAGUACAUGCGAGAAACUGCCUUGUACAGGGCGCAGUGGAUGAGGGCAAACAACUCAAAAAAUAUGUUUGAGGUCCUCCAUGAGUUUCCUCGGCUAACUACCCCAGGCAUGAUUGCACAGGACUUUCACAUUUUACAUCAAGAUGCAUCUCCAAAACUGUUUGAAAAAUGGCUCCCUUGGUAUACUGACAGGAUCUUGCUUUUUGCGAAGCGAGAAGCAAAGCUUCCAUGUACAGCUGAAGAAAUGACAGAAGGUUAA